CCUGUUGCUCUUGAACUUCUGUACCUGGCAAAGAGCUUCUCUUCUUUGGAUGCUGGGAUCUUGGACCUCAACCUCAAUUGCAGGAAGACGUGAAAAGAACCUGCUCUCUCUGUGUAGUUGUGCUGAGUUCCGACAUGGUUUUGAGUUUCCCACACUGGAGCCCAAGGAAAGCAGGUAUGGAUCACAGACUGCUGCAUCCUAGAGGAUGACUAGCUAGUGGCUGCAGCUGGCCACCGGCCCUGUUCUCUCUCUCUGCACUGCUGCCGCCAUGUUGUCCAGGCCAUGAUGGAGCAAGGGCCGAAGGACUUCUCCAGAGCUGUGGGGCUGCUUUUCAGGUAUCUCGAUGUGAGUGAAAACCGACAGAUUACAAUGCAGGAA